CUAUUACAAGUCACCUCCUCCUCCAUCUCCAGUUUACAUAUACAAGUCACCACCUCCUCCAUCACCUACUUAUGUUUACAAGUCACCACCACCACCAGUGAAGUCACCUCCCUAUUACUAUCAAUCUCCACCUCCACCAUCACCAAAACCUCAGCCUCCUUAUUAUUAUCACUCUCCACCUCCUCCAACACCAGUUGUUAAGCCACCAUACUACUACCAAUCUCCACCUCCUCCAUCUCCAAAACCUAAGCCUCCAUACUACUACCAAUCUCCUCCUCCUCCAUCACCAAAACCUAAACCUCCUUACUACUACCAAUCUCCACCUCCUCCAUCACCAAAACCUCAGCCUCCAUACUACUAUCAAUCUCCACCUCCUCCAACACCAGUUGUGAAGCCACCAUACUACUACCAAUCUCCACCUCCUCCAUCACCAAAACCUCAGCCUCCUUACUAUUACCAAUCUCCACCUCCUCCAACACCAGUUGUUAAGCCACCAUACUACUAUAAAUCUCCACCUCCCCCAUCACCCUCUCCUCCACCACCAUACUACUACAAAUCUCCACCACCACCAUCCCCAUCACCGCCACCUCCAUACUACUAUAAAUCUCCACCUCCACCAUCACCGGUUGUUAAGCCACCAUACUACUAUAAAUCCCCACCUCCCCCAUCACCCUCUCCUCCCCCUCCAUACUACUAUAAAUCUCCACCUCCAUACUACUACCACUCUCCACCUCCACCAUCACCAGUUGUUAAGCCACCAUACUACUACAAAUCUCCACCUCCACCAUCACCCUCACCUCCCCCUCCAUACUACUAUAAAUCUCCACCCCCACCUUCACCAUCCCCUCCUCCUCCAUACUAUUAUAAAUCACCACCACCACCAUCCCCAUCACCGCCACCUCCAUACUAUUACAAAUCCCCUCCACCUCCAUCCCCAUCUCCACCGCCUCCUUAUUACUAUCACAGUCCUCCUCCACCAUCUCCCACUCCUCAUCCUCCCUACUACUACAAAUCCC
rnacentral:lncRNA from 1 species